rnacentral:rRNA from 1 species
GACAAACAGGCCAAGUUAAGUUUAGUUGGUAUAAAAGGAAGUAAAGAUAAGAUGAUUAGGUAGAGGGGUUUAAUUUUUUUGUGGGGAGGUGGAAUUCGUACACAAAAAAUUAUACUAGCUAUUCCUCUAAUUUGAUGCUUCGAAAACUAAAUGAGAGACCGGGAUUAGAUACCCCGUUAUUUUUUUUGUAAAUUUUGAUUAGCUAGUUUACCUGAGUAUUACGGGUUGAUGUAAUUUAUGUGGUUACCGGGGGGUAAGUUACAAGGUUACUCAGAUACUUAAAACUCAAAAAACUUGGCGGUGCCUUAUUUCCUUCCAGGGGAACCUGUCCUGUAAUUGAUGAUCCACGAUUGAGCUUACUUUUUCUUGAUUGUACCGUGUGUGAAUUAUUAGUUUGUAUACCGUCGUCGUCAGAUUACCUUUGAGAGUUAAGAAGUUGUCUGGUAAAGCAUAAAUAGUACUUGUAUUAGCAAGUGUUAGUGAGUAUUAUUUAAUUUUUGAUGUCAGAUCAAGGUGCAGCUUAUGGGAAAGUAGAGAUGGGUUACAAUAUAGAUUUUAUAUUAUGGAUACUAAUUUGUAAUAAUUUGGUGAAAGUGGACUUGGGAGUAAUGUAAUUUAAUAGUAUUAAAUUAGUUAGUUUGUGUGAAUAGAGGUACUAAGGUGCGC